UAUGAUUUCAUUCGCGCUCACGUUAAUAGUAAAGUCUCAGCUUCCCUCCAGUCCAGCAGGUGGCGGUACACCAUCUUUUAAAGACAUCCUUCGAUGGUAGCUGGCUGCUGUGGUUGACACCUUCCUUCUCGCGGGAUUUGUUUUGACGUGGCGGCAAGGUUCGAAGUGUGUGUGACAUUUGUCCAAACCCCGUAACCCGUCACCAUAAACGGUCGCUCAAGUCUCGGAUGAACAAAGGCCGCCAAAAUGUCAUCUCCGACCGCCGGACUUCCAUACUCCAAGGUGGACUUUUUGUCCCGCUGGAUGCCCAGCAGCACCAGGUCCGGUGUUAUCCUUAACCCGGGCCCUGACCUGGUGGAGUCUCUGCGGUACACGUCUCCCUCGUCCACCCCGCGACCUCCGCCCCUGGAGCCGUACGAGGGCGACCCCUGCACCUCAGACUUCGCCCCCUUGCUGGCUUCGACGGACAGCAGCUGCCUCGCCGUGCAUGACCUGUCCAGGUUACCUGGAGGAGACAGGCCUGGGAGUGACAGUCACAGGACCUCACAUGGAGAGGCGCACAGUUUGGCUGAGAUGUCCAACGACUCUCAGGAUGCUCCCAUGAGGAUGAAGCUGGAAGAGAUGAGGAGGUCGCAGCAGCAAAUGCAGGAGCAGCUUAAAGCCGACCAUCUGCGCAAGCUCCUUUGCCUCCAGAAGAAACGGCAGAGGCUGUUGGGAAUGAUAAACACAUCCCAUCUUUGCACAGAGGGAGCAGAGCAUGAGGCCUCCAGUCCCAGACAGAACCAGUACAGCCCUGCAGUCAACUGUCUCGUGAACCCACGGCAGAAAGAGACGCUCACAGGGCUGCAAAGUGGUGUUGAAAUGCAGGACAAGGAGGAUGGCACGAGGGCUGAUGCUACCGAGAAGCAACUUGAUGGGUCUUCAUCAAGACAAAGUGAAGACACGGCUUUUACUCACAACAACAGCAGAGAAAAUGAUUCAGUGCCGAAAGACAGACCAAUAAUGGCAGGCAAGCAGACGUUUGAGCAGUUACUGGAGGAGCAGCUGAGGUUGGAGGAGCAGAGGUUGAAAUCUGGCCGGCAACACCAGAAGCCAAAUGGAGGAGACUCCCCCCCCAAUAAAAGCACCUUUCUGAGGCAAGGCCAGGGUCUGUCUAGAUUUGCCAACAACUGCAAGUCCUCUUUCCACAAGGAGGACACAAUCACUGAUUCCAAAGCACCGACCCAGGCCAAAGUUGUUUCCCACAGCAAGUCUGGGCCCACAUUUAUCCAGAGAGGUGACAAAAAAGCAUCGCAGAGGCUUCCUGUCCAGCGUAACACCGCCACCCUCAACAAGGAAAACCGUCCGAGUGGCACCACUUCGCAACCCCAGGAUCUGAGAUUUGAACGUAACGCAGCGCAGAGGAAGGUGUUGGGCUGCCACCAGAGACCAAACACAGACAGAAACAAGGAUGUCUUCAUUACUCGACCCGGCAAGCAAGCGCAGCACAGUCAGCUCGCCAUGACAAAGCAGGUGGCUGCUGAGCAGAGUCCAAGACUGGAAUCGCCGGACGGGCGAGCGGUGGCCAGAGUUCCACGGGAACCGUUCGUGGAGAAGCUGGAGAGCAUGGGGCUGGGAGAGUUUGAACUCCUGGAGCAAGCGGCCGAGGAGCUGUCCUUCUCCUCCACCUCCUCCUUUGUCACCAAGGUUCUCCAGAUGGAUCAGCAGAACCGGAAGCUGCUCGGUGUGGCCGGGCCGGACCAGAGACGCUUCUCGUCCACACCCAUCAAGUCCCCGCCCACCAGGGAGCAGCGCCGCAGCCCUGGUGACGGUGGCAGUGUCGUUGUGAAGAAGAGCAAAGUGAGGUUUUACGACGGCGAGGACUCCACAUCAACGGCUGGCGGCGAAAUUCAAGAGCCGGAAGUUUUCGACUCGCCGCACGUUUCUCCCAGCGGCCUUCCAAGCUGCUUCGCCGUCCCGUCUGAGCCGGCAUACGACAGAUGCUCCUGUCAGGAGGAGGACGGCGCCAGUGAGGACGACGGCGAGAGCGACGACGUCAUCAGCAGCAUCAACUCCUCGCUGACUGAGGACAAAGACGCGCCGCCGGUCCAAAUCGUGUUUAAUGACGAAGACACGUGGAGCGACCUUGACGACACGGCGGUCAGUGCGGCUGACCUGGUUUCCACAGGAGCGGCCAAUCAGGAGCCAGAAGCUCCUCCUUCCGAACUCAUGAUGACACUGUUCCCGUCACUCAAGCCAAAGACCCAGAAUGCAACUCUACCUCCGCCGCCCACCGAGGACAGGAAGACAGACAAGGAGGCCGGCCUGUGUGUCCAUCCCACACAGGUGAGGGAGAUGGUGGCCCAGGUGGAGAUGGAGAUCGAGCGCUUCCAGAAGAAGAACGUGGCGCUGGCCAAGCUCAGACAAGAGAUCGAGAAGAACCAGAAGAGCCUCAGGAUGGAGUGCGAGGCGUUUGAGAAGCAGAGAACAGAGCAUCUUGCUCACUUUGAGGACUACAAGAAAGAAGAAACCAGGAAGCUGCAGAGGGAACGCAAACUGUUUGAGAAAUACGCCACGACCGUGCGAGCCACGCCCAACAGGAAAGAACAAACGGAGAUCCAGGCGCUGAAGGAGCAGCUGAGCUCCCUGCAGGAGGAGCUGAGGAAGAAGGAGAGCCGCUGGUCGUGCACGCACACUCGCCUUCGCCAGCAGAUUGACUCUCUCAGCCAGGAGAAGCUCGAGCUGAAGGACCAAGUGUGCACGUGGGAGCUGCUUCAUCUCAGACACUAAAUGCUCAACUGCUGUGUUUUGCUGCCAUCUUAUAAAUAAAAUCUUGCCUCAAGCAAGAGAAAAGCUUCCUUCAUGAAGAGUUAUGCUCUAUUUUUACUCUUACUUGUAUGACAUCGGCCGCACGGUGGACUUGUGGUUAGCAUGUUGGCCCACAGUCAGGAGAACAAGAUGAUCUGCGUUUGAAUCUCCAUUGGGUAUCUCUGUAUGGCGUUUGCAUGUUCUCCCCGUUUUCUCCGGGUAAUCCGGUUUUCCUCCCACAUUCCAACAUCAUGCAUGUUAGGUUAAUUGGAGACUUGUCCAUUGGUAUGAAUGUGAGGGGGUACCCCGCUUCUCGCCCAAAUUCAGCUGGGAUAGUCUCCAGCAUACCCGCGGUGAGGAUAAGCGGCAUAGACGAUGGAUGGACAGUCCUCUGGACUCCAGAGGGAGCAUCAGCCCUCCAAGCUGCAGUACUGCAGCGGCCGCUAGAGGGAACUCCAAGGACAGCAGGCAUCCUGACCACGUGCCCAAAGGCCCCUCAUCAUCAUCACAGAUGUCUGCCAAAAAGAACAUGUCAACCAGCCAGCCUAUUCCAGAACAUUCACAUAGCUGCUCUCCGCCAAGAGCUGUGACGCCAAGUGAACCAACCAAAUGCAGCGAAGAAGAAGAUGCUCUGGAAGUCAUCACGUAUGCUGAUGGUGAGGUCAGCAACGAUCCACACUUGCUUCUAGAUAACUUCUACAUCUUCAUCGCGGUUCCCCUUUUCGUGGAUUCGCUCUUUCGUGGAUUGCUUUUGAAGUGCACUUUUUUUUUAUUUUUUAUUUUUUUACAGUUUAGGAACGCGCAUUGUUUUGGGAGACCUUGUGGUGUAUUAGAGUACCGUGUAGUAGAGGGCCGUGAGUCUGAGACCCCUGCUGUAGACCAUUGUCAAUCAAUCUCCUUCGUGCAAGACUGCCUGUUUCCUGUUGUAUGAUCGCUAGCAGCUAGCGAUCAUACAUGCUGAAGUUGUGCAGCUGUAGGGUGCGUGGAAUACUGUAAAUGAAUCUUCGGUUCAUGGAGGAUGACGAGGAGGGAUAUGUUUGAACAAGGCUUAAAAAACGCUACAGCCUAACGGUGCCAGGACAAGCCACGGUCAGAGGCGGGAGUCACUUAUUUCUUGUGUCAAUCUCCUAAAUUGAUCAUUAAAAUUAAAUUGAAAUAUGAGCUUUGAGAGUGUUUAAACAAGAGAGAAAUACGAUAAAAUGUUUUUACACUUUUCUCAGACAGUCAUUAAGUAUAUUGUGAGGGGUUUUACAGCCUUAAAACAUACUGUAUAUAAUAACUGUAGAAAAAAAACAGCAUUUUAAACACCUUAAACGCCUAACCAAGCCAAAAACUGGAAGAUCUGGAGGAGUACAUCGACGGGUGCUUCAAACGCGUAGUUAUGGAAAAAUCACCGAAGACACCAAACCCCAAACGCAGUCGCCCGGAGGACUCACCUGGAGAAAUAUCUCCGCCAGGCACUGACAUCAGAGACAUCCUUGAGUCCAUCGACAAGAGGCUGAUUUGCUUGGACGGCCGCCUCGCUCUCGUUGAGGUGCUUCACAAAGAAUUCCAGGCCAUCCGUGAAUCUCUGGAAUUCAGCCAAAACCAAAUCGUCUCCUUGGUUACGGAGAACGCCACCCUCCGCGACUCGGUGAAGUCCCUCACCGACGGAGUUUCACAACUCGUCCAAGAAAAUAAGACCAUGAACGAGACGAUCUUAGACCGCCAGGCCCGGAGCAUGAGGGACAAUCUGGUCUUCGCGGGAAUUCCUGAAAAAUCUGAGGAGGACCCGGAAGAAUCGGUGAGGGCCUUCAUGGCGCAACAACUCAAACUCCCAGCGGACGCCAUCCAAAACAUCAUUUUUCACCGCGUUCACCGCCUGGGAGCCAAGAAGCCAGAGAACCGUAGGCAGAGACCCAUCGUGGCGAAAUUUGAACAUUUCAAGCAGAAGGAACAGGUGAAGGGCCGAGGCCGGGAGCUGAAGGGGACGGACUUCAGCGUCAACGAUCAAUUCCCCCGAGAAAUCCUCGACAGACGCCGACGCCUAUUCCCUGUUCGGAGGAAGUUCAUCAACGAGGGAUGCCGAGCUGUCAUCACGGUGGAUAAACUCUUCGUCAAUGGACAACUUUACCGUGACCGGGAAGUAACACCGUGGCUGUAUCGAUAUGGUAACUAAUGAUCUAUCUCAACCUGGUAACUUUUCUUUCUAUCUCGCAGCGCGCACACUUGUAGCAUUUGCAUGUUACUCUCCGCUCCCACUUUACCCCCCCCGUUUUUUUUUUCUCUCUCUAUCCCACUGCAUGUAUGCACAGCCUUUCUUCUUUUUUGUCCUUUUUUUUCUUCUUCUUUCUUCCUCUUCUAUUCCCCCUCUGUCUCACGUUUUCUCCCUUCCUCAUAUUGUCACAUAUCCUCUUGUCUGCCAGCUGUCUCCUUCAAUGAGCAUCUCUUCACAGUGACAUCAUACACCCUCAAAGUCCAAACCCAACCAAAUUCAAACUAUUCACACUAAUACACACACGUGCACGCAUUCUCCUACACAUACACAUCAUAUUCUACUAUUGAUAUGGAUAUCACAACUACUCACAAGCAUGCUCAUCUCACUUAUGCAUAAACCCACAUCACGUCCUCACUUUAGUUGGCUUAGUUCAUUCAGGAUUACUAUGUUACACUUUGCCUAUGUACAAAUUAAGCAUAAAUUUAAAAGUACUGUAUAUACUCCCAUGAAUUUUACUUCCAGGUACACAUACUUCACAUUUGAUCUUGUUUACACACACAUCACCAAAAGCUAGUCUAGGAUGAACUCACUACAGUUUGUCACUUGGAAUGUCAGGGGAGUUGGGUCAAUAGAAAAAAGACAACAUUUUUUUUAAUCAUUUGAAGAACACCCAAGCAGACAUUGUCUUAUUACAAGAGACUCACAUGUCCAAGUCAGCUGUCCAUACACUUCACUCACCACAGUUCCCACACACAUAUUUAGCAAGUUACAACUCCAAACAGAGAGGGGUAGCUAUUUUAAUUAACAGGAGGGUGAAUUUUACACUCCACAGCACUAUUACAGACACAGAAGGGAGAUAUAUAUAUAUAAAUGAACAUAUCUGUUGAUAAUGUACAUUUCUGCAUUGCCAACAUUUAUGGUCCGAAUGUUGACGACCCCUCCUUCUUUCACACCUUUUCUUCUCUCUCUGCACAUUUGAAUUCAAGUAUGAUCUUGGGAGGGGACCUCAACUUAGUAUUUAAUCCAGAAGUGGACACGUCUAGCCCAGCUGGGAGACAUCGUGAGUCUCAAUCAACAUCGAUACUGAAGAAAUACAUGAAUGAUUUUGGCCUUUGUGAUGCUUGGCGCUCUUAUCACCCUACCCACAGGGAAUAUACUUAUUUCUCACCAGUGCACCACACCUACUCUCGUAUUGACCACUUUUUGACAAGCAAUUCAAUCAUAUCAGACAUUUCAAACAUUCACAUACACCCUAUCACCAUUAGUGAUCACGCCCCAGUUUCUCUUUUUCUCACUAACCAAACAAUGAGCGCUCCUACUAGAUGCUGGAGAUUAAAUACAUCAUUACUAAAAGACUCAGACUUCCUAAAAUACUUUGAAAGAGAGUGGACAAUGUUUUUAGACUUUAAUGACCAACCCGGUAUCUCGGCUAGUAUUCUCUGGGAGGCAGCAAAAGCAGUAAUGCGCGGAAAAAACAUUUCAUAUUCAUCAUAUAAGAAAAAGAAAGAGAGAUUACUAGAAUCAGAGUUGGAGAAAAAAAAUCCAAAUCCUCGAAGCAGCUCAUGCUGACUCACAAGAUGAGCAUAUUCUAAGUAACCUAAGGAAACUGAAACUAGACUUAAAAGAAAUUACUGACAAGAAAAUUCAGUUCCAACUGCAGAGACUACGCUUGGAAAAGUUUGAGCACGGCAAUAAACACGGAAAAUACUUAGCUAACCAACUAAAAGUCAAUAAAGAAAAAAGCUCUAUCUCCUCCAUUAGUACCCAUUUCAUUAAUAGAACUCCAUAACGCUCUACACCGGUUGCCGAAUAACAAAGCACCACGAACAAAGAGGUACUAGGCAAGGGUGUUCACUCUCUCCCUCACUAUUUGCUAUCUUUAUCGAGCCUCUUGCAGCUGCAAUUCGACAACAUAUAAAUAUUAAAGGGAUCCACACCACAAAUGUUCAUCAUAAGAUAAGCCUUUAUGCUGAUGAUGUAUUACUCUUCCUAGAUAAUUCACAUUCUUCACUUCACGAAUCUAUCUCACUCAUUAACAGUUAUAGCACCUUCUCAGAUUACUCCAUUAACUGGUCUAAAUCCACAGUACUGCCCAUUAACUUUGGUUUCCAGAGCACCCCCUCUAUACCACUGUGUUCAGGGAACAUUAAGUAUUUGGGUAUUAACAUUUCCUCCAACCUGUCAGACCUGAUCCGCUUGAAUUAUACUCCACUAUUGAAGUCAAUAGAGGAUGAUCUUGCACGUUGGAGAACCUUGCCCAUCUCACUUACAGGUAGAGUAUCCACCGUGAAAAUGAUGAUUUUACCAAAGGUUAAUUAUCUGUUUCCAUGAUCCCCACCAAACCAUCUAUAAUUUGGUUCAAGUCAUUAGAUUCAUAUAUAAAUACAUUUCUUUGGAAAAAUAGGCCAGCACGAAUAAAUCUCAAAACGUUACAAAAAUCUAAAGAAUAUGGGGGCUUAGAACUCCCAAACUUCUCCAACUACUUCCUUGCAAACAGGUUACAGUAUAUCUUAAAAUGGAUCAAACCUAACCCAUUGGAUUAUUUAUGGCUAGACAUAGAACAAUCACUUAGCCACGAAAUCCCAAUUUGUAACCUGCCCUUCAUUAGCCAAAUCCUCCGGAAAAAUAAUUGUUUUAAAAGUAUAAAUAUAAGCACCACUCUGACAGCUUGGUGGGAAUUUCUAAAAAUAACAAAAUUCUCGCUCACUCCUUGCCAAUACACUCCCGUCUGGAAUAAUCCUGACAUCUUGCUUAGAAAGAAACCAUUAAAUUUCCCAACAUGGCACGAAAAAGGAAUAAGUUAUAUAAAAAAUAUAAUUAUAGGAAACAACUUUAUCUCAUUUAACGACCUUGUUACACAGUAUGGAAUAAAUCAUAACAAAUUUCUUGAAUACAUACAAAUUAAGUCUAUAAUUAAAGUAAGUUUCAGGUCUAUAUCAUGGGAAAGCAAUACCACUAUUGACCAAUUUUUUUUAAAUAUCUGCCCCUAAAACACUAUCUAAAUUAUGUGUUCUAUAAUUUGCAUGCCAGCAGAAACACUCCAUUUCUGUCGCCAUGGCUUGGCAAGCUCCACAUUUACACCACCGAGUCAUGCCGGUGUAAUGACCCCGCCCCACCCUAUAUGCUAUGAAGUUUUACUCUCUCUUCCUACUGGCUCAGCUUCUAAAACCUGUAGUGUAGGUCAUCCUCCGUACAUUUUGGCUAAAAAAAUAAGGUUCUGGAUCCUCAUUUGUUGAAAAAUGGUCGCAGGCGGAAGCUCUCACGAAGUCUGCAAUGAUUAGUAGUUGCAAACAGACACGCUUGACACGCUGCAAUUGUUGCCGAAAUUAUUUUAUUAUAAUUAUUAUACACACAGUGUAUAAUAGCGCCCUCUGUUGUACGCUUGGAUGCAUUUCACUGCAGCGCACAAUUUUCUGAGAUCUGCUUAUUUUGUGGAGGAGUUGUCAGUAAAUCUUGCGUGAACUGCAAUCGGUAGGUAAGUUUUCCAUGGUCUGUUCCGGUCAAGUUUUCUUACGAUGUUGACGUGAUUCAACACAUAACUGUUAACAUUGGAAGCUCUCUGUAGCAGCAUGAGUGGGAAUGUAAACCAAGGAGCCUUGAGUCAAAAGAAUGCCAAUCAGCAUCCACUUCCGUAUUAUGCCCUGCGCGUGUUUGGCCGCCAUGAUGGGGAGCAGAAUCCAGAAACUAUGCAUUGAAAACAUGUCCUCAACACACUGCUCAGCUAUUAAUUGCUCAAAUAGAUGGUCUAAAAGCAGUGGCAGAGCUAUCCCCGAACCAGACAAAGGCAUCCCACAAGCCAGGCCACCCCGGGCGAGCCACUGCGACGGCCAGGUCCCCGGCCACAACCCCGACCCUGGCGGGCAGGCGCUGUGGAACAGGCACGAGGCACCCCAAUCCAGCCUGCCCCACCCGUGUAUGUGAUAAGGUGUGAUUGUGUCUAUGAUGCAAUUAAAAAAAUAAUAAAAUAAAACAAAAGGGGACAGCUAUGAAGAGCUGGUCUCUGUGUCCCUGAGGGGUGUAUCUGUGUGCAUGUAGUAUAUGAUAGGGGUAUAUGUGGAUGAUAGCUAAUGAUGCAGUUAAAAUCGGGGGACAGCUGCCGCUCGGAGGGCCCCUCACCUGACCAGCUCCCCCAAACCCUAAGUGUCUACUGUGCGAUUAAAAUUGGGGGGCAGCAGGUCAGU